rnacentral:misc_RNA from 1 species
UCCGGCUUGUCACCGGCAGUUUCUCCAGAGUGCCCAGCUCAACCUGAUGGCAACUGAAGAUGGGGGUUGCGCUCGUUGCGGGACUUAACCCAACAUCUCACGACACGAGCUGACGACAGCCAUGCAGCACCUGUGUUCCGGCCAGCCGAACUGAAGGACCGCGUCUCCACGGCUUCACCCCGCAUGUCAAGCCCUGGUAAGGUUCUUCGCGUUGCGUCGAAUUAAGCCACAUGCUCCGCCGCUUGUGCGGGCCCCCGUCAAUUCCUUUGAGUUUCAGCCUUGCGGCCGUACUCCCCAGGCGGGGCACUUACUGCGUUAGCGACGGCACUCAGAGGGUCGCUCCCCCAAGCACCUAGUGCCCAUCGUUUACGGCGUGGACUAC